AUGGCGGCGACCGCCUACGAGCGCCGCCUGCUCGCCGCCGCCGACCUCGUCCUCUCCGCCGACGGGAAGUCCCAGCUCCCCCGCCUCUCCUCCGCCGACCUCGGCGUCACGGCCGACCUCAAGCCGCACCAGCUGGACGGCGUCNNNNNNNNNNNNNNNNNNNNNNNNNNNNNNNNNNNNNNNNNNNNNNNNNNNNNNAUGGGGCUGGGGAAGACCCUGCAGGCGAUUUCUCUGCUGAGCUACCUGAAGAUCAAAUCCAUCGCCCCCGGGCCCUUCCUGGUGUUAUGCCCUUUGAGUGUGACGGAUGGCUGGUUGUCGGAGUUCGGUAAAUUCUGCCCCACCUUGAAGGUCAUCCAGUAUGUUGGUGAUAAGCCGCAUCGUCGUCAGAUACGGAGAACGAUCCAUGAAGAUGUCCAAAAUUCUUCACAUUCAAAUGAAUUGCCAUUUGAUGUGAUGCUGACGAGCUAUGACAUAGCCUUAAUGGAUCAAGAUUUUCUUUCACAAAUUCCUUGGCUCUAUGUGGUGAUUGAUGAGGCACAGCGUCUUAAAAAUCCUUCAAGUGUACUGUAUAAUGUUCUUGAAGAACGCUUUAUGAUGCCAAGGCGUCUACUACUAACAGGCACUCCUGUCCAGAAUAACCUUUCUGAACUAUGGGCGUUGAUGCACUUCUGCAUGCCUUCAGUUUUCGGGUCCCUAGAUGAAUUUCUUUCUACUUUCAAGGAAGCAGGGAAUUUGUUUUCAGGUAGUGAAGCUAAUAAAGCAAACAGACAAUUCAAGAUCCUUAAACAUAUACUCAGAGCAUUUAUGCUCCGACGAACAAAGGCUUUACUAAUUGAGAGCGGAAUUCUGGAAUUGCCUCCAUUAACUGAGCUGACAGUGAUGGUACCUCUGGCACCCUUACAGAAGAAGAUAUACUUAUCAGUGUUGAGAAAAGAGCUGCAAACACUUCUUUCAUUUACUGGUGGAUCUUCUCGUCAUCAAUCUCUGCAGAACAUUGUAGUACAACUGCGGAAAGCUUGCAGUCAUCCAUAUCUAUUCAGUGGUAUUGAGCCUGAGCCUUAUGAGGAAGGGGAGCAUUUGGUUCAGGCUAGUGGAAAGCUCAUUGUGCUAGACCUUGUUCUUGAGAAGCUCCACAGGUUAGGUCAUCGUGUUGUGCUAUUUGCUCAGAUGACUCAGACGCUGGACAUUCUGCAGGAUUUCCUAGAACUGCGUAAUUACACAUAUGAGCGCCUGGAUGGUUCAGUACGUGCCGAGGAACGGUUUGCAGCAAUCAGAAAUUUCAGCUCUCAAGCUACCAAAGGUGUUGUAAGAGAUGACAGUAAUCCAAGUGGAGCUUUUGUUUUCAUGAUAUCAACUAGAGCAGGGGGUGUUGGGCUUAAUCUCAUUGGUGCUGAUACUGUUAUUUUUUAUGAGCAAGACUGGAAUCCUCAGGCUGACAAACAGGCUUUGCAGCGUACUCACCGCAUUGGACAGUUGAAUCAUGUAUUAUCAAUAAAUUUGGUAUCGCAACGCACAAUUGAAGAGGUCAUCAUGCGAAGAGCAGAGAGAAAACUUAAGCUUAGCCACAAUAUUUUUGGAGAUAAGGAUGCAACUGAUGGGAAAGGGAAAGACUUGGGAAAUGAAGCUAAUGACAUGCGUUCGAUUAUAUUUGGCUUACACCAGUUUGACCCCGCGGAUACAGCUGCAGAAACAAUCAAUGAGGAGACACUGGAAAAAUUGAAAUCAAUGUCAGAAAAUGUUAUCAAAAUGCGUACUCAUGAACCUUCAGAAAAGGAUGACCGAGCAUUUGAAAUCAAUCCAGAUUUGACUGAGGGCAGCGGGGCUGUGAUUACAAGAGCUUGUGAUUCUAUUAGCAUUGAUCCAGGGGUUGACGAAGCUGCGUACCUAUCCUGGGUAGAGAAGUUUAAGGAGGCUUCACAUUCUAUUGAAGAUGUCCCAGUUGAAUUAGAAAGGCAAAGACCUGCACCUGAAGAUAAGCUCUUGAAACGUGAAGCUAAUAAGAAAAAGGCUGAAGAAAAGAGAUUGGCCAAGUGGAAAGAUUUGGGGUACCAGACAUUAGGGGUCAAAGUUCCUGAUAACAUACCAAAUCAGAAUAUUUCUGACUCAGGAUCCGUCCAACUUGUAUAUGGAGAUUGCACUGAUCCAUCAAAAGUUUGCGCUGCAAAGCCUGCCAUUAUAUUCAGUUGUGUAGAUAAUUCUGGGACAUGGGGUCAUGGAGGAAUGUUUGAUGCUUUGACUAGUCUCUCAACAUACAUUCCAGAUGCUUAUCAUCGUGCUUCUGAAGUCGACGAUCUUCACAUGGGGGAUCUUCACUUGAUUCAGCUAGAUGAAGCCAACUGUAGCCGGAGUUUGGAUGCACCUCUAUGGGUGGCACUUGCUGUUGUGCAGUCUUAUAAUCCGAAACGUAAGAUUCCAAGAAGUGAAAUCUCAAUGUCUGACUUGGAGCUGGGUUUGUCAAAGGCGGCCUUCUCAGCUGCUGAGCGUUCUGCGAGUAUCCACAUGCCUCGGAUUGGUCAGCGAAGUGGCGCCCAGCGAUCAGAGUGGUAUACCAUAGAACGCCUGCUCAGGAAAUACGCAUCACUUCAUGGCAUCGACAUUUUCGUGUACUACUUUCGGCGACCAACCAGGCAACAGCCAGACUCAGAUUAA
rnacentral:rRNA from 1 species